AACCUCCGCAAUGUGAGAAAUCGCGACGGGGGGAUCCCAAGUGCCAUUCUUAACGGGAUGGCUUUUCAUUAGUGUAAAGAGCUUUUGGAAUAAGAGCUGGGCAAGACCGGUGCCAGCCGCCGCGGUAACACCGCCAGCUCUAGUGGUAGCAGUUUUUAUUGGGCCUAAAGCGUCCGUAGCCGGUUUAAUAAGUCUCUGGUGAAAUCCUGUAGCUUAACUGUGGGAAUUGCUGGAGAUACUAUUAGACUUGAGAUCGGGAGAGGUUAGAGGUACUCCCAGGGUAGAGGUGAAAUUCUGUAAUCCUGGGAGGACCGCCUGUUGCGAAGGCUUCUAACUGGAACGAUUCUGACGGUGAGGGACGAAAGUUAGGGGCGCGAACCGGAUUAGAUACCCGGGUAGUCCCAACUGUAAACGAUGCGGACUUGGUGUUGGGGUGGCUUUGAGCUGCUCCAGUGCCGAAGGGAAGCUGUUAAGUCCGCCGCCUGGAAGUACGGUCGCAAGACUGAAACUUAAAGGAAUU
rnacentral:rRNA from 1 species